rfam:Anolis carolinensis chromosome Tnknown cont2.39912, whole genome shotgun sequence.
GAUUAAAGCUUGAAUACCAUAAAAACACCAGUUCCCAUAUGAUUUUGGAAGUAAGGCAGGGUCAACCCUGGCUAGUCCUUGGCUGGGAGACUACCAGUGAAUACCAGGUGCUGUAGGCU